rnacentral:rRNA from 1 species
UAAGUUCCCCGCCUGGGGGAGUGCGGUCGCAAGGCUAAAACUCAAAGGAAUUGACGGGGGCCGCACAAGCGUGGAGCAUGUGGUUCAAUUCGAUGCAACGCGAAAAACCUUACCUGGGUUUGACAUCCUUUGACAGUCCCUGAAAGGGGAUCUUCCCGAUUUAUCGGGACAAAGUGACAGGUGCUGCAUGGCUGUCGUCAGCUCGUGUCGUGAGAUGUUGGGUUAAGUCCCGCAACGAGCGCAACCCUUGUCUUUAGUUGCCAAUAUUAAGUUAGGCACUCUAAUGAUACUGCCCCGGUUAACGGGGAGGAAGGUGGGGAUGACGUCAAGUCCUCAUGGCCUUUAUACCCAGGGCUACACACGUGCUACAAUGGGCUAUACAAAGGGCUGCCACUCUGCAAAGAGGAGCUAAUCCCAAAAAGUAGUCCUAAGUUCGGAUUGGAGUCUGCAACUCGACUCCAUGAAGCUGGAAUCGCUAGUAACCGUGGAUCAGCAUGCCACGGUGAAUACGUUCCCGGGCCUUGUACACACCGCCCGUCACACCACGAAAG